UACUCGAGUGGCGAACGGGUGAGUAACACGUGGGUGAUCUGCCCUGCACUCUGGGAUAAGCCUGGGAAACUGGGUCUAAUACUGGAUAUGACCUUUCUCCUUAUGGGGUUUGGUGGAAAGUUUUUCGGUGUAGGAUGAGCCCGCGGCCUAUCAGCUUGUUGGUGGGGUGAUGGCCUACCAAGGCGACGACGGGUAGCCGGCCUGAGAGGGUGAUCGGCCACAUUGGGACUGAGAUACGGCCCAG
rnacentral:rRNA from 1 species